rnacentral:rRNA from 1 species
UGCCAGCCGCCGCGGUAAUACGGAGGGUGCAAGCGUUAUCCGGAUUUACUGGGUUUAAAGGGUGUGUAGGCGGACAGGUAAGUCAGAGGUGAAAUCUCCGAGCUCAACUCGGAAACUGCCUUUGAUACUAUUUGUCUUGAAUUUCGUUGAGGUUGGCGGAAUAUAUCAUGUAGCGGUGAAAUGCAUAGAUAUGAUAUAGAACACCGAUUGCGUAGGCAGCUGACUGGACGAACAUUGACGCUGAGGCACGAAAGCGUGGGUAGCGAACAGGAUUAGAUA